UUUAGAAAUCUAAAUCUUCAUUUGAGAAAACUUUUUAGUUUUUGAAUUUCGGGGACAAAAUUCUGUUAAAGGGGGAGGGAUGUAAUUCCCCAGAUUUUUAAGACAGAACGCCUUAAAUAGAAUUUAAGAUCUAUGGCGAUCAAUCCACACUAUUAACUCAAUCGAUCGACAUUAUUCUGAUAAUUGCAUAAAGACCCAAUAUAAAUACCCACAGAAAUAAGAUUAGACAUUUUAUCCGCAGAUUAACUGAACCAACAGAUUAACUUCAUCUAGACAACACAUCACAGCUACAGCUCAACCCUCUCGUCAUUUCCCUCACGUCACCUAUGCAAGCCAAACUUCCUGAGCAAGUUUGUUUACCAACCUUACAAAUUAGCCCCUUCCUUCAUGCAGAAACUGGCACCUCUCAGUUUAUUACUGAGCUUCUUCUCCCUCUCUUCUUAAUCAUUUAUUCCUUCUUUUUUUAUCCUUCUCUUCUUUUUCUUCUUGUUCACUCGAGUAACAGAGAGAGUGAGAGGGAGAGAACAAGAGAGAUCGAGUGAGAUUGAGAGAGAGACAUCACAUAGAGAGAGAGAGAGAGAGAGAGAGAGAGAGAGAGAGAGAGAAGAUUGAGAUCGUCGAACAAGAGGAGAGAACCCGGAGACCCAUGCUCAGAGCCGACGAACGAAGACCAGAUCGAAGGCCGAUAUCCAAUGGGUGGACUAGGUCAACGCUGAUGAACCCAGAGGGAAACCCGACCUUCUAUGGUCGCCGGAGGUGCGAUUUCCGGCUGAUCAUUAGUGGUUGACGAGGGAGACAACUUCCGGUGACUUGGAGCACGAAAUCCAGCGAUUUUCAGAGAUGAUUCCUUAGAUUUUUCUGUGGUUUUUCCUUAGCUUCAAAGGGAAAUUAUCUAGGUUUUAUAAAUGAAGAUUAGAGCGCAAGAGGUUUUAAAGCUAAUGACACAUAGAUUGUAUUUUGUUUGUAGUCUUCUGUGUUUAUAAUCUUUUAUGUUGAAAGAUUGCUAAAAUUUCCAUGUAUUCUUUUGUGUCACUAUUGACACAUAUUUCCAUGUAUUUGUUCUAAGUAUUUUUAAUGGAUGUCUAGAAGUAUUUCAGUUAGAAGCUCUGUCGUGUUAGUUAAAUCCAAGUCUGCUGGAUAAUUAUAUUUUCCUCUACCAAUUUAUAACUCUGAUAUUGUAGUAAUAUCACGUGGAAAUUGAAAAAAAAAAAUUCCACUUACGCCUUUUUGUAAAAGGCGGGGCGUUCUAUGUAUAGAAGCCAAGGCCUCUAAAAUCUGAGCAUAACUGACAUCCUGCUGAGGUGGCGGAGCAGUCUGAGAAGAGGAUGCCAUAUCAGGUACUGCUACAGGAAUAGGAGGGGAUGGUGGCACAUCAUCAUCCGGAUCGUCUUGCCGCAGCUGGGCAUUGGACUUUAUCAGAGUCUGCUUGCUGAUGGGAUCCCGGAUCUUCAUCUUUGGCUCACUAGUUACACCAAUGCUUGACUGUAAAAUAAUCUGUGUGAGCAACCAGCCAUAUAGGAGACCGGUAUUGCCCUCAUCACGGGCUUCCAGGAUAACCCCCAAAAUAUGCUUGUACAGGCAAAAUGGCAAGCGAAGGCAGAUGGCAUAGACAAAUUAGGCCCUCUUCAAGAUCAGAUCACUGCGCCUAACAACGGGCCAGAGGUUGUGCUGAACAAUUUUGGCAAGCAUACGAUGUGGAGCAGUCAGGGCAUCAAUCUGAAUAGAAAUGGCAUGCUCUUCUCCUUGAGGGACAGCAUAAAAGAAUUCUCUGAGAUCAUCCAGAGAUGGAGGCAAGACUACCUCAUUAUAUGGACUGGCAGAAAUCUGGAGUACUGGCACCCCGAUGAACUGACUAAUGAUUUGGGGAUCAACAGUGAAAAUAUGUCCGUCCACAGAAGACUGAAGGACUGCGCCAUGAUCAUUAGUCUGAAUAACCUUGAGGUUUGCAUAGAAUAAUCUGACAAGCCUGGUGUACACAACACAGACACAGUUGUGCAGAUAACCCCAGUGGUAGGUCUGGAUAAUGUCGUGGAUAUUGUCCAGAUGAGCCACCAUGAUGUCUGAACGAACCACAUUUCUCUCAGUAAUGAUUGGUUUGUCCAUAAUUUUAGCUCUAA